CCUACGGGGGGCUGCAGUGGGGAAUAUUGGACAAUGGGGGGAACCCUGAUCCAGCCAUGCCGCGUGUGUGAAGAAGGCCCUCGGGUUGUAAAGCACUUUCAGUGAGGAAGAACGCCUGGUGGUUAAUACCCAUCAGGAAAGACAUCACUCACAGAAGAAGCACCGGCUAACUCCGUGCCAGCAGCCGCGGUAAUACGGGGGUGCGAGCGUUAAUCGGAAUUACUGGGCGUAAAGCGCGCGUAGGUGGCUUGAUAAGCCGGUUGUGAAAGCCCCGGGCUCAACCUGGGAACGGCAUCCGGAACUGUCAAGCUAGAGUGCAGGAGAGGAAGGUAGAAUUCCCGGUGUAGCGGUGAAAUGCGUAGAGAUCGGGAGGAAUACCAGUGGCGAAGGCGGCCUUCUGGACUGACACUGACACUGAGGUGCGAAAGCGUGGGUAGCAAACAGGAUUAGAUACCCUUGUAGUC
rnacentral:rRNA from 1 species